GCCUGGGGAGUACGGCCGCAAGGUUAAAACUCAAAUGAAUUGACGGGGGCCCGCACAAGCGGUGGAGCAUGUGGUUUAAUUCGAUGCAACGCGAAGAACCUUACCUACUCUUGACAUCCACAGAAUUCGGUAGAGAUACCUUAGUGCCUUCGGGAACUGUGAGACAGGUGCUGCAUGGCUGUCGUCAGCUCGUGUUGUGAAAUGUUGGGUUAAGUCCCGCAACGAGCGCAACCCUUAUCCUUUGUUGCCAGC
rnacentral:rRNA from 1 species